rnacentral:rRNA from 1 species
ACUAGGGAUCGGACGAUGUUACAUUUUUGACGCGUUCGGCACCUUACGAGAAAUCAAAGUCUNUGGGCUCCAGGGGGAGUAUGGUCGCAAGGCUGAAACUUACAGAAAUUGACGGAAGGGCACCANCAGGCGUGGAGCCUGCGGCUUAAUUUGACUCAACACGGGGAAACUCACCAGGUCCAGACACAAUGAGGAUUGACAGAUUGAGAGCUCUUUCUUGAUUUAGUGG